rnacentral:lncRNA from 1 species
AAAAAAACCUUCAUUCUUUGGGAGAGAAGACUUAAUUUUCCAAACAAUAAUCUCCAAUAAAACAGCAUAAAGCCAAUUAAAUUUGUUUUUCAAAAUGUUAUGAACAAUCUAUAAAAAUCUGAUCUUGACCAUAAGAUAUAACUUCUAUAAGCCUUUAUUAAGGAGUUGGUUAAUGCUUCAAGAAAACUUUGUUAAUCUAACACUGGGGCCCCUAUUCUGGUCUUACAUCAGUGUGCUUUUGACAUUAAUGAUUAAUUUACAGAAAAACAGAACUUAUUUUAUCUCUCAAAAUCAGUUCUUACAAUCUCACAUGCCCACCUCUUUUGUGAUAGUCUCUGGGCCUUGAGGAGUUGAAGAGCUUUAAUUUCAUCUCAUCUGCUGAGAAGGUGGCUCAUGGUUGGGCUAUUUUCAUCUAGGAGAGUAUUCCAGGCCAGACCCCACUUAACCUAAAAUAAUAAAAAAGGUCAGAAUCUAAUUUGAAAAUAAUCUAUUUAAGUUCAGAUAUUAAGGAUGGCCACCAAAUAACACAUGUAAGUAGCCCUGAAUAUAUAUUCCAAUUACUAGCCAUUACAAGCUGGUCUUUUUUGAAACAAUGCAAAGGCAGUUUCUAAGUUGUUUACCAAGAACUGACAUUAAAAUUAUUGGUAAAUUGAUUGGGUAUUGAUUGGCUAUAUAUAUUUCUUUGUUUUUAUAUAUUUUAUGAAAAAAGAAAGAAUGGUUGAGGCAGCUAGUCAGAAACAUAAUGUCUUUAAACAAUUGCCCCUGUGCACAGAUGUGGGGUAAGAUUGAAGUCUCAUAGUCUCAUCUCUCUAGGCUUGAUAAAUUGUGCAGAACUCAAAGAGCUGAGACUGCUCUGAGCUAUUUUUCUCACUGCCUUGCUCAGGACACAUAAACCCCUUAGGUGGGCAGAUCACCUAAGGUCAGGAGUUCAAGACCAGACUGGCAAAAAUGGUGAAACCCUGUCUCUACUAAAAAUAAAAAAAGGCUGGGCAUGGUGGCUCAUGCCUGUAAUCCCAGAACUUUGGGAGGCCAAGGCAGGCAGAUCGCUUGAGGUCAGGAGUUCGCAACCAGCCUGGCCAACAUGGUGAAACUCUGUCUCUACCAAAAAUACAAAAAUUAGCCAGGUGUGGUGGCGGGUGCCCGUAAUCCCAGCUACUCGAGAGGCUGAGGCAGAGAAAUGCUUGAACCCAGGAGGGGAAGGUUGCAGUGAGCCGAGAUUGCACCACGGUACUGCAGCCUGGGUGACAAAGUGAGACUCUGUCUCAAAAAAAAAAAAAAAUUAGGCAUGGUAGUGCAUGCCUGCAGUCCCAGCUACUUGGGAGGCCAAGGCAGGAGAAUUGUUGGAACCUGGGAGGCAGAGGUUGCAGUGAGCCAAGAUUGUGCCACUGCACUCCAGCCUGGGUGACAGAGUGAGACUCUGUCUCAAAAAAAAAAAAGAAAAA